rnacentral:rRNA from 1 species
UGAGUAACACGUAAGUAAUCUACCUUUAAGACGAGGAUAACAACCGGAAACAGUUGCUAAGACUGGAUAGGAAAUAAAAAGGCAUCUUUUUAUUUUUAAAAGACCUUUUUCGGAAGGUAUGCUUAAAGAUGAGCUUGCGCCACAUUAGUUUGUUGGUGGGGUAAUGGCCUACCAAGACGAUGAUGUGUAGCUGGACUGAGAGGUCGAACAGCCACAUUGGGACUGAGACACGGCCCAAACUCCUACGGGAGGCAGCAGUAGGGAAUUUUCGGCAAUGGAGGAAACUCUGACCGAGCAACGCCGCGUGAACGAUGAAGUAUUUCGGUAUGUAAAGUUCUUUUAUUGAAGAAGAAAAAAUAGUGGAAAAACUAUCUUGACGUUAUUCAAUGAAUAAGCCCCGGCUAACUAUGUGCCAGCAGCCGCGGUAAGACAUAGGGGGCGAGCGUUAUCCGGAAUUAUUGGGCGUAAAGGGUGCGUAGGCGGUUAGGAAAGUCUAUAAUUUAAUUUCAGUGCUUAACGCUGUCUUGUUAUAGAAACUACCUUGACUAGAGUUAGAUAGAGGCAAGCGGAAUUCCAUGUGUAGCGGUAAAAUGUGUAAAUAUAUGGAGGAACACCAGAAGCGUAGGCGGCUUGCUGGGUCUUGACUGACGCUGAGGCACGAAAGCGUGGGUAGCAAACAGGAUUAGAUACCCUGGUAGUCCACGCCGUAAACGAUGAGUACUAAGUGUCGGGAUAAAACUCGGUACUGAAGUUAACACAUUAAGUACUCCGCCUGAGUAGUACGUACGCAAGUAUGAAACUUAAAGGAAUUGACGGGACUCCGCACAAGCGGUGGAUCAUGUUGUUUAAUUCGAAGAUACACGAAAAAUCUUACCAGGUCUUGACAUGCUCUGCAAAGCUAUAGAAAUAUAGUGGAGGUUAUCAGGGACACAGGUGGUGCAUGGUUGUCGUCAGUUCGUGUCGUGAGAUGUUAGGUUAAGUCCUAAAACGAGCGCAACCCUUGUCGUUAGUUACCAGCACGUAAUGGUGGGCACUUUAACGAGACUGCCAAUUAAACAUUGGAGGAAGGUGAGGAUUACGUCAAAUCAUCAUGCCCCUUAUGAUCUGGGCUACAAACGUGAUACAAUGGCUGUUACAAAGAGUAGCUGAAGCGCGAGUUUUUAGCCAAUCUCAAAAAAGCAGUCUCAGUUCGGAUUGAAGUCUGUAACUCGACUUCAUGAAGUUGGAAUCGCUAGUAAUC